CAGGCAAUGCUUGCUGUAACAGUGUGUACAGAAUAGCAGACCUGAGCUGAGGCCAGAUAAAUGCUGCUCGGAAACAGACACCACAUGAUGUUCAUGUAGAACAAAUGGAAUUAGGAGAAAUGUUUGAAGACUUCUCACAAGAAAUUGCUCACAAAUGACCUACAGCACACACAAUAUUUCACAGGCACAGAAGAUGGGAGAUGGUCCACUUGAUCCCUGCUGCUUUACUGCAUAAAAACCUGAACAUGCUAAUGCUAGAGAAAGCCACCAGGACCAAUACAUUCCCAUGUCCAUUGAAGCCAACAAUGAAAAAAAUUGCAUUUCUACAAG